rnacentral:rRNA from 1 species
GACGAGGGGUCCAAGCGUUGUUCGGAAUCAUUGGGCGUAAAGCGGGUGUAGGCGGCUCUAUAAGUCAGGAGUGAAAUCCCCGAGCUUAACUUGGGAAGUGCUUUUGAUACUGCAGAGCUUGAAUGUGGGAGAGGUUAGUGGAAUUCCAAGUGUAGAGGUGAAAUUCGUAGAUAUUCGCAAGAACACCAGUGGCGAAGGCGGCUCACUGGCCCGAUACUGACGCUGAGGUGCGAAAGCGUGGGGAGCAAACAGGG